rnacentral:lncRNA from 1 species
AUUCUGUUCAAAAGAGGAUUUGUUUGUGAUAUUCCUUUAAGAAUCUUUAUUUAUUCCCCCAACAGUUUCUUUUUCUGCAUCCGCUGCUCUGUUAAGUGAUCACCACAUUCAUUGUUCUCGUUUCUAUUAUUUCUGAAAAAAAUCUUCAGGAUUCUGCUUGUGGGAGUGGAUGACAUUUUUACAGUGUUUACAGACACAAAAUGAACAAGAUGUCUGUGGCAACCCUCAGACCAUUGACGCCUUCUCUCCUAUGUAUCAAAUCACACAUUUGGACGUUGACUGAACCCUCACAUGUCAGAUGCUCAAUAUUGAGGUAUAGUAAAAGGGAGCAUGAACUUGAGAAAAUACGCUUUCAACACAAAGCUGUAAUAAUAUAAGGUCAAAUAAGAUUCUGCAUUGGAGAUAGAAAACUCUGAAGGAAGCUUUAUCUAUUCCAGAAUGUCAUAUAGCUGGUAUAAGCAUUUCCUGAACAGGGAAAAGUUGAAAGCAUUCCCACUGAGAAAUGGAACAAGACAAGGAGGCCCACUCUUACCACUUCUGUUCGACAUAAUACUAGAAGUCCUAGACAGAGCUAUCAGAAAAGAGAAAGAAAUAAAUGGCAUUCAAAUCGGUAAAGAGGAAGUCAAACUGUUGCUAUUUGCUGGUGAUAUGAUCAUAUAUCAGAAAACUCUAAAGACUCCUCUAAAAAGUUCCUCAACUGGUAAAGGAAUUCAGGAGAGUUUCAGGAUACAAAAUUAAUGUACACAAAUCCAUUGCUCUGCUAUACACCAAUAGCAACCAAGCUGAGAAUCAAAUCAAGAACUCAACCCCUUUCACAAUAGCUGCAAAAAGUAAAAUAAAAUACUUAGGAAUACAUCUAACUAAGGACAUGAAGGGCCUGUACAAGGAAAAUUAAAAAACACCACUAAAA